rnacentral:rRNA from 1 species
AACGCGAAGAACCUUACAAAUCUUGACAUCCCUCUGACAAUACUGAUAAACGGUACUCUCUUCGGAGCAGAGGAGACAGGUGGUGCAUGGUUGUCGUCAGCUCGUGUCGUGAGAUGUUGGGUUAAGUCUCGCAACGAGCGCAACCCUUGUCCUUAGUAGACAGCAAGUAAAGUUGGGCACUCUAGGGAGACUGCCGGAGACAAUCCGGAGGAAGGUGGGGAUGACGUCAAAUCAUCAUGCCCCUUAUGAUUUGGGCUACACACGUGCUACAAUGGCGUAAACAAAGGGAAGCAGAGCCGUGAGGCCGAGCAAAUCCCAAAAAUAACGUCUCAGUUCGGAUUGUAGUCUGCAACUCGACUACAUGAAGCUGGAAUCGCUAGUAAUCGCGAAUCAGAAUGUCGCGGUGAAUACGUUCCCGGGUCUUGUACACACCGCCCGU